UGUCAUCAGUUUCUUCAUCUGGUUGAGCUGUGGAUUUGAGGGCGAUUGUUCUCUUCUUUUUAACUUCUUCCUCUUGGUGUUGUUUCAUGCUCAGCUCAUGUGUCAUUAAUGAUUCAAGAAGCUCUUCCAAGGGUAGAAUGUUCAAAUCCUUGGCUUCUUGGAUGGCGGUCACUUUGGCUUCCCAAGUUCUUGGUAAGGACCUGAGAAUCUUUCUUACAAGCUCACUGUUAGAAUAGGAUUUACCAAGACUCUUUAAACCAUUUAUAAUAUCAGUAAAGCGAGUAAACAUUUCAGUUAUGGACUCAUCAUGCUUCAUUUUAAACAAUUCAUAUUUAUGCACGAGCAUGUUAAUUUUGGACUCCUUUACUU
rnacentral:lncRNA from 1 species